rnacentral:lncRNA from 1 species
UUUUUCUCAUGCAUUAAUAGAAAGUGCUAUUGAGUGGAAAUCAUAAGUAUUUGGGUUACCCUCAGUGAAUCAAGAUGGUAGAAAGUCUCCCAGGUCACGUCUUGGAUGAAACAUUACAAAAGCCGUUAGAAGCAUCGCCUAGACCCAAAGGUGGAACAAGGAAAGAACGAGCGGCAGGCAUGCUUCGCGACAUGUUGGGGCAUACGUAGAGAGUUGGCGAAUGUUCCGGAACAGAGCUCUACCUAAUAAAUAAGAUGCUCUUGCUACUAGGACGUUAGUAAUUAAUUAAAUAUUGGCGCGACUUUUAAAUUGAAAUAAAUAGUAGGUAAUAAAUACAGUCCAAAUAAAUGUUUCUAGUAGUCUUCAUUUUAUUCCGUACAUGUAAUAUAAUUAUGUUAUAAGUUUGUAAUAAACUAGUUGAGUCUUUUUGGGUA